GUCCAUAUUGUCUAAUGGUAAAGACACCUAUAACUUGUUAUUGCUCCUAUGAGUUGUUUCAAUAUUGGCAGGGUGAUCUGAGUUCGAUCCUCAGUAUGGACA